AGAGAAGGAGAACAACUAAUCUCCCUAAGAC
rnacentral:tRNA from 1 species